rnacentral:rRNA from 1 species
CCUACGGGAGGCAGCAGUGGGGGAUAUUGCACAAUGGGGGGAACCCUGAUGCAGCGACGCCGCGUGGGUGAAGAAGCGCCUCGGCGCGUAAAGCCCUGUCAGCAGGGAAGAAAAUGACGGUACCUGAAGAAGAAGCCCCGGCUAACUACGUGCCAGCAGCCGCGGUAAUACGUAGGGGGCAAGCGUUAUCCGGAUUUACUGGGUGGAAAGGGGGCGCAGACGGCGAUGCAAGCCAGGAGUGAAAGCCCGGGGCCCAACCCCGGGACUGCUCUUGGAAAUGCGUGGCUGGAGUGCAGGAGGGGCAGGCGGAAUUCCUGGUGUAGCGGUGAAAUGCGUAGAUAUCAGGAGGAACACCGGUGGCGAAGGCGGCCUGCUGGACUGCAACUGACGUUGAGGCCCGAAAGCGUGGGGAGCAAACAGGAUUAGAUACCCCAGUAGUC